rnacentral:rRNA from 1 species
GACGAACGCUGGCGGCGUGCCUAAUACAUGCAAGUUGAGCGCUGAAGGUUGGUACUUGUGCCAACUGGAUGAGCAGCGAACGGGUGAGUAACGCGUGGGGAAUCUGCCUUUGAGCGGGGGACAACAUUUGGAAACGAAUGCUAAUACCGCAUAAAAACUUUAAACACAAGUUUUAAGUUUGAAAGAUGCAAUUGCAUCACUCAAAGACGAUCCCGCGUUGUAUUAGCUAGUUGGUGAGGUAAAGGCUCACCAAGGCGAUGAUACAUAGCCGACCUGAGAGGGUGGUCGGCCACCUUGGGACUGAGACACGGCCCAAACUCCUACGGGAGGCAGCAGUAGGGAAUCUUCGGCAAUGGACGGAAGUCUGACCGAGCAACGCCGCGUGAGUGAAGAAGGUUUUCGGAUCGUAAAACUCUGUUGGUAGAGAAGAACGUUGGUGAGAGUGGAAAGCUCAUCAAGUGACGGUAACUACCCAGAAAGGGACGGCUAACUACGUG